rnacentral:lncRNA from 1 species
CCGCGGUCCCCUGGGGCCCACGGGAUGAUCGGGGUCCUGUCCCCAGAGGAAGGCCCUUCACUGAAUCCUGCCUGCAAGUCCCCUCGCACGGGUGACAGACUCGCGGGGUCCGGGGAUCAGGCCCCGGACAUCUCGGGGGUCGUGUCUGGCCGACCACCCUUGAGUUGGGCUUCCCCUUUCUCGUGGCACAAACGUCCGGUGCCUUCUGUCCCCACACCCCCUCCCCCCACCGCUCAGUCAGACUCGACUGAAACGAGAAGCCGGCCUCGGUCUCCCCCGGGGUCGGGUCAGGUCCAGCGUCCCCCGUCACAGCUCUGAUGGCACUGGACUGUCACCUGCAGGGAGGAGCCCAUGGCGGCGGGCAGGGGCUACCAGGCGUUGCACCCAGGCCGGGGUGGCGGAGCCACGGCGGGGUCAGGUCUCGGCCAAGGUCACGCUGUCCGGGCCCCAACACACCCUUGUUCGGUGAUUACACGACUGGGUCUGCCUUGGUCAGUCUGGAACCCCAGCACCCCGCAAUGGUCCCGGCCACCAGGAGAUGGUCACUGAGAGGAACACAGAGGGGCUGCCCAGAACCAGCCAGCAUGUGGAAGGAGGUGCCCAGGAUAGGAGGGACCAGCUCCAAAACAGGAAGAGCGCCGGCUGAACGGAGGCCCCGGCGGACUCCGGCUUCCCAGGCCCACACCGACGUCGCCGACGUCAAUCGUCGGAAGCCCGGGAUUCCGGGGCGCAGAGGCUGCAAAGGCCCGGGGGUCUAGCGCGGUCUCCACGGGGCAGAGCGCUUUGCAAGUCUGGUACUAUUACUGCUGUCGGCGGUGUUGUUGGGACCCUUCACGUCUCUGGGUCUCCCCCCCGCCCGCCCCCCGCUGUGCCCCAUGGCCGGGUGGGUGGCCUGGGGUGGAGCAGGGAGCCAGCGGGGGCUGAGGUCCCCGGGGUGGGGGGCGUUGUAGGGACGGGAGGGGAGGCCGGGGCCCCAGACCACGCUUGGGCCACACGAGUGGCCACAUCAAACCCCGGAUCCGCAGGGACACCCUCCCCGCGGGUCGCCCGCCGCGGGAGACCCCGACACCCACGGUGACACCUCGGACCCAGGGUCACCACCGGGUGCCCUCCCGGGCUGCGGCCACACCCU